rnacentral:rRNA from 1 species
UACGUAGGGUGCGAGCGUUAAUCGGAAUUACUGGGCGUAAAGCGUGCGCAGGCGGUUCGUUAAGUUCGAUGUGAAAGCCCCGGGCUCAACCUGGGAACUGCAUUGGAAACUGGCGGGCUUGAGUGUGGCAGAGGGGGGUGGAAUUCCACGUGUAGCAGUGAAAUGCGUAGAUAUCGGGAGGAAUACCGAUGGCGAAGGCAGGUCUCUGGGCUGACACUGACGCUCAUGCACGAAAGCGUGGGGAGCAAACAGG